CUGGGGUCCCUAUGGGGCUCUAUGGGGUCACUGUGGGGAAGUUAUGGGGUCACUAUGGGACUCUAUGGGGACACUGUGGGGCUCUAUGGGGUCACUAAGGAGCUCUAUGGGGUCCCUAUGGGGCUGUUAUAGCGUCUCUAUGGAGCUCUAUGGGGUCACUAUGGGGCUCUAUGGGGUCACUAUGGGGCUCUAUGGGGUCCCUGUGGGGCUUUAUGGGGUCCCUAUGGAGCUCUAUUGGGUCCCUAUGGGGUUAUAGCGUCUCUAUGGAGCUCUAUGGGGUCACUAUGGGGCUUAAUGGGGACACUGUGGGGCUCUAUGGGGUCACUAUGGAGCUUUGUGGGGUCACUGUGGAGCUCUAUGGGGUCCCUAUGGAGCUCUAUGGGGUCACUAUGGGGCUCUAUGGGGUCACUAUGGGGCUGUUAUGGGGUCACUGUGGAGCUCUCUGGGGUCCCUGUGGGGCUCUAAGGGGUCACUGUGGGGCUCUAUGGUGCCACUAUGGGGCUCGAUGGGGUCCCUAUGGGCCCCAAUGAGGUCAUUAUGGGACUGUUAUGGGGUCUCUAUGGAACUCUAUGGGGUCACCAUGGGGCUCUAUUUGUUCACUAUGGGGCUCUAUGGGGUCACUGUGUGGCUCUAUUGGGUCACUAUGGGCCCCAAUGAGGUCACAAUGGGGCUCUAUGGGGUCCCUAUGGGCCCUAAUGGGGUCAUUAUGGGGCAGUUAUGGGGUCACUGUGGGGCUCUAUGGGGUCACUAUGGGGCUGUAAUGGGGUCUCUAUGGAACUCUAUGGGGUCACUAUGGGGCAGUUCUGGUGUCACUAUGGGGCUCUAUGGGGUCACUGUGUGGCUCUAUUGGGUCACUGUGGGGCUCUAUGGGGUCACUAUGGGGCUCUAUGGGGUCCCUAUGGGCCCUAAUGGGGUCAUUAUGGGCCUCUAUGGGGUCACUAUGUGGCUCUAUGGAGUCCCUAUGGGGCUCUAUGGGGUCAUUGUGGGGCUCUAUGGGGUCACUCUGGGGCUCUAUGGGGUCACUAUGGGGCUGUUAUGGGGUCACCGUGGAGCUCUAUGGGGUUACUAUGGAGGUAUAUGGGGUCCCUUUUGAGCUCUAUGGGGUCGCUAUGGGGCUGUUAUGGGGUCCCUAUGGGGCUCUACGGGGUCACUAUGGGGCUCUAUGGGGUCCCUAUGGGGCUCUACGGGGUCACUAUGCGGCUGUGAUUGGGUCAUUAUGGAGCUCUAUGGGGUCACUAUGGGGCUCUAUGGGGUCCCUAUGGGGCUCUAUGGGGACACUGUGGGGUUCUAUGGGGUCACCGUGGAGCUCUAUGGGGUCACUCUCGGGCUCUAUGGGGUCAUUACAGAACUCUCUGGGGUCCCUAUGGGGCUCUAUGGGGUCCCUAUGGGCACCAAUGAGGUCUCUAUGGGGCUGUUAUAGGGUCUCUAUGGAACCCUAUGGGGUCGCUAUGGGGCAGUUAUGGGGUCAUUAUGGAGCUCUUUGGGGUCCCUAUGGGGCUCUAUGGGGUCACUGUGGGGCUUUAUGGGGUCAUUGUGGAGCUCAAUGGGGUCGCUAUAGGGCUGUUAUGGGGUCCCUAGGGUGCUCUAUGGGGUCCCUAUGGGGCUCUAUGGGGUCACAAUGGGGCUCUAUGGGGUCCCUAUGGGCCCUAAUGGGGUCAUUAUGGGGCAGUUAUGGGGUCACUGUGGAGCUCUAUGGGGUCAUUACGGAGCUCUCUGGGGUCCCUAUGGGGCUCUAUGGGGUCACUGUGGGGAAGUUAUGGGGUCACUAUGGGACUCUAUGGGGACACUGUGGGGCUCUAUGGGGUCACUAAGGAGCUCUAUGGGGUCCCUAUGGGGCUGUUAUAGC
ensembl:lncRNA